rnacentral:rRNA from 1 species
GACGAACGCUGGCGGCGUGCCUAAUACAUGCAAGUCGAACGAAAGCAACCGGUGCUUGCUCUUGUCACUCUAGUGGCGAACGGGUGAGUAACACGUGGAUAACCUGCCUAUCAGACGGGGAUAACUUCGGGAAACGGGUGCUAAAACCGCAUAGUUUUUCGAACCGCAUGGUUUGAUAGGGAAAAACGGCGUUGCUUUCUGUUAUUGAUUGGUCCGCGGGGCAUUAGCUAGUUGGUUAGGUAACGGCUUACCAAGGCCGCGAUGCAUAGCCGACCUGAGAGGGUGAUCGGCCACAUUGGGACUGAGACACGGCCCAGACUCCUACGGGAGGCAGCAGUAGGGAAUCUUCCGCAAUGGGCGAAAGCCUGACGGAGCAACGCCGCGUGAGUGAAGAAGGUCUUCGGAUCGUAAAACUCUGUUGUUAGAGAAGAACAAGUGUGAGAGUAACUAUGAGCGCCUUGACGGUAUCUAAUCAGAAAGCCACGGCUAACUACGUG